rnacentral:rRNA from 1 species
UGACAAAGUUUAACGGCCGCGGUACCCUAACCGUGCGAAGGUAGCAUAAUCACUUGUUCUUUAAAUAGGGACUCGUAUCAACGGCAUCACGAGGGCUAUACUGUCUCCUUUCUCCAAUCAGUGAAACUGAUCUUCCCGUGAAGAAGCGGGAAUUAUUAUAUAAGACGAGAAGACCCCAUGGAGCUUUAAACUCAAUAUAUAUUUCUACGCACUUAUAUCACUAUUAGCCUAAGAAAACUAUGUAUUAGUUUUAGGUUGGGGGGACCGCGGAGAAAAAAUUAACCUCCACGACAAAUAGGCCAACGCCUUUAUCUAUGAACCACAAUUCUAAGAAUCAAUAAACUGAUGUUUAAUGAUCCAAUUUUUUGAUCAACGAACCAAGUUACCCUGGGGAUAACAGCGCAAUCUACUUCAAGAGCUCCUAUCGACAAGUGGGUUUACGACCUCGAUGUUGGAUCAGGGUAUCCUAGUGGUGCAGCCGCUACUAAAGGUUCGUUUGUUCAACGAUUAAAACCCUACGUGAUCUGAG